rnacentral:pre_miRNA from 1 species
ACUCACUUGAUCCGGGCGUAACAAAGCUCAGAAUAUUUGAGAAACGUUUUGUUCGUUCGGCUCGAGUUAGGG